rnacentral:rRNA from 1 species
AGUGAACGCUGGCGGUAGGCCUAACACAUGCAAGUCGAACGGCAGCACAGUAAGAGCUUGCUCUUACGGGUGGCGAGUGGCGGACGGGUGAGGAAUACAUCGGAAUCUACUUUUUCGUGGGGGAUAACGUAGGGAAACUUACGCUAAUACCGCAUACGACCUACGGGUGAAAGCAGUGGAUCUUCGGACCUUGCGCGAUUGAAUGAGCCGAUGUCGGAUUAGCUAGUUGGCGGGGUAAAGGCCCACCAAGGCGACGAUCCGUAGCUGGUCUGAGAGGAUGAUCAGCCACACUGGAACUGAGACACGGUCCAGACUCCUACGGGAGGCAGCAGUGGGGAAUAUUGGACAAUGGGCGCAAGCCUGAACCAGCCAUACCGCGUGGGUGAAGAAGGCCUUCGGGUUGUAAAGCCCUUUUGUUGGGAAAGAAAAGCAGCAGGUUAAUACCCCGCUGUUCUGACGGUACCCAAAGAAUAAGCACCGGCUAACUUCGUG